rnacentral:rRNA from 1 species
AGUGAACGCUGGCGGUAGGCCUAACACAUGCAAGUCGAACGGAAGCACAGUAAUUGCUUGCUCUUAGGGGUGGCGAGUGGCGGACGGGAGGGGAAUAAACCGGAACCUACUUUUUCGUAGGGGUUAAAGACGGGAAACAUAAGCUAAUAGCGCAUACGAGCUACGGGUGAAAGCAGGGGAUCUUUGGCCGUUGCGGGAUUGAAUGAGGCGAUGUAGGAUGAGGGAGUUGGCGGGGUAAAGGCCCACCAAGGCGACGAGCCGUAGUUGGUCUGAGAGGAUGACCGGCCACACUGGGACUGAGGCACGGUCCAGACUCCUACGGGAGGCAGCAGUGGGGAAGAGGGGACAAUGGGCGCAAGCGUGAUCCAGCCGUACGGCGUGUGUGAAGAAGGCGUGCGGGUUGUGAAGCCCUUUUGUUGGGAAAGAAAAGCAGCAGGUUAAUACCCCGCUGUUCUGACGGUACCCAAAGAAUAAGCACCGGCUAACUUCGUG